GACGAACGCUGGCGGCGUGCUUAACACAUGCAAGUCGAACGGAAAGGCCCUGCUUUCGUGGGGUGCUCGAGUGGCGAACGGGUGAGUAACACGUGAGUAACCUGCCCUUGACUUUGGGAUAACUUCAGGAAACUGGGGCUAAUACCGGAUAGGAGCUCCUGCUGCAUGGUGGGGGUUGGAAAGUUUCGGCGGGUGGGGAUGGACUCGCGGCUUAUCAGCUUGUUGGUGGGGUAGUGGCUUACCAAGGCUUUGACGGGUAGCCGGCCUGAGAGGGUGACCGGCCACAUUGGGACUGAGAUACGGCCCAGACUCCUACGGGAGGCAGCAGUGGGGAAUAUUGCACAAUGGGCGGAAGCCUGAUGCAGCAACGCCGCGUGCGGGAUGACGGCCUUCGGGUUGUAAACCGCUUUCGCCUGUGACGAAGCGUGAGUGACGGUAAUGGGUAAAGAAGCACCGGCUAACUACGUG
rnacentral:rRNA from 1 species